rnacentral:rRNA from 1 species
GAGUUUGAUUAUGGCUCAGGAGGAACGCUGGCGGCGUGCCUAACACAUGCAAGUCGAGCGAGAAAUAGUCAGACGGAGAUUUCGGUUGAAGGAUGGUUAUGGAAAGCGGCGGACGGGUGAGUAACGCGUAGGCAACCUGCCUCAUGCAGAGGGAUAGCCUCGGGAAACCGGGAUUAAAACCUCAUAAGGCCAAGGGGACACAUGUUUUCGUGGUCAAAGAUUUAUCGGCAUGAGAUGGGCCUGCGUCUGAUUAGCUGGUUGGUGAGGUAACGGCUCACCAAGGCGACGAUCAGUAGCCGACCUGAGAGGGUAAACGGCCACAUUGGAACUGAGACUCGGUCCAAACUCCUACGGGAGGCAGCAGUGGGGAAUAUUGCACAAUGGGCGAAAGCCUGAUGCAGCAACGCCGCGUGAGCGAAGAAGGCCUUUGGGUCGUAAAGCUCUGUCGAUAGGGAAGAAAAAGGUGACCGUACCNUCAGAGCC